AUACGGAGGAUGCGAGCGUUAUCCGGAUUUAUUGGGUUUAAAGGGAGCGUAGGUGGGAUAUUAAGUCAGCUGUGAAAGUUUGGGGCUCGACCUUAAAAUUGCAGUUGAUACUGGUUUCCUUGAGUACGGUACAGGUGGGCGGAAUUCGUGGUGUAGCGGUGAAAUGCUUAGAUAUCACGAAGAACUCCGAUCGCGAAGGCAGCUCACCGGGCCGGAACUGACACUGAUGCUCGAAAGUGCGGGUAUCAAACAGGAUUAGAUACCCUGGUAGUCCGCACAGUAAACGAUGAAUACUCGCUGUUUGCGAUACACGGUAAGCGGCCAAGCGAAAGCGUUAAGUAUUCCACCUGGGGAGUACGCCGGCAACGGUGAAACUCAAAGGAAUUGGCGGGG
rnacentral:rRNA from 1 species